GGGAAUAUUGGACAAUGGGCGCAAGCCUGAUCCAGCCAUGCCGCGUGUGUGAAGAAGGCCUUUUGGUUGUAAAGCACUUUAAGCGGGGAGGAGGCUAACCUGGUUAAUACCUGGGAUUAGUGGACGUUACCCGCAGAAUAAGCACCGGCUAACUCUGUGCCAGCAGCCGCGGUAAUACAGAGGGUGCGAGCGUUAAUCGGAAUUACUGGGCGUAAAGCGCGCGUAGGCGGUUUGUUAAGUCGGAUGUGAAAUCCCCGGGCUCAACCUGGGAAUUGCAUUCGAUACUGGCAAGCUAGAGUAUGGGAGAGGAAGGUAGAAUUCCAGGUGUAGCGGUGAAAUGCGUAGAGAUCUGGAGGAAUACCGAUGGCGAAGGCAGCCUUCUGGCCUAAUACUGACGCUGAGGUGCGAAAGCAUGGGGAGCAAAC
rnacentral:rRNA from 1 species